AACACAUGCUCGCUAGGAUGUCGCAUCCUAUGCAUACGUAUCUUCUCGGACGAGAGAAGAAUCAGAGCAUUCGUAGCUCGGCUGACCCGCACACAAACAAACACAGGCAAAGGCAAACGUGGAGCCUGAAUGCCAAUCACUGGACUUAUAUCAGCAUCCGAACCUAAACACACGCAAAGAGGCAAACGUGGAGCCCAAAUGCCAAUCACUGGACUUACAUCAGCAUCCGAACCAAACACACGCACACUGGAACCUAACUGCCACUCGAUGGACUUACAUCAGCUUCC
rnacentral:lncRNA from 1 species